rnacentral:rRNA from 1 species
GUUAAAAAGCUCGUAGUUGAAUUUCGGGACUGAUAUGUCGGUCGUGCCUCGGUACGUACUGGUAUUUUUGGUUUCUCCCUUCUGACGAACCUUGAUGUCAUUAAUUUGGUGUCUUGGGAAAUCAGGACUGUUACUUUGAAAAAAUUAGAGGGUUUAAAGCAGGCUCACGCUUGAAUACAUUAGCAUGGAAUAAUGAAAUAGGACGUUUGAUUCUAUUUUGUUGGUUUCUAGGAUCGACGUAAUGAUUAAUAGUGAUAGUUGGGGGCAUUAGUAUUCAAUUGUCAGAGGUGAAAUUCUUGGAUUUAUUGAAGACUAACUACUGCGAAAGCAUUUGCCAAGGAUGUUUUCAUUAAUCAAGAACGAAAGUUAGGGGAUCGAAGACGAUCAGAUACCGUCGUAGUCUUAACCAUAAACU